CCUACGGGGGGCAGCAGUGGGGAAUAUUGGACAAUGGGCGAAAGCCUGAUCCAGCCAUGCCGCGUGUGUGAAGAAGGCCUUCGGGUUGUAAAGCACUUUCAGUGGGGAAGAAAGCCUUGGGGCUAAUACCCUCGAGGAAGGACAUCACCCACAGAAGAAGCACCGGCUAACUCCGUGCCAGCAGCCGCGGUAAUACGGAGGGUGCGAGCGUUAAUCGGAAUUACUGGGCGUAAAGCGCGCGUAGGCGGUCUGAUAAGCCGGUUGUGAAAGCCCCGGGCUCAACCUGGGAACGGCAUCCGGAACUGUCAGGCUAGAGUGCAGGAGAGGAAGGUAGAAUUCCCGGUGUAGCGGUGAAAUGCGUAGAGAUCGGGAGGAAUACCAGUGGCGAAGGCGGCCUUCUGGACUGACACUGACGCUGAGGUGCGAAAGCGUGGGUAGCAGACAGGAUUAGAUACCCGGGUAGUC
rnacentral:rRNA from 1 species